rnacentral:piRNA from 1 species
UGCUGUCACUAUUGACCCCGUGA